rnacentral:misc_RNA from 1 species
GAUGAAGAACUUAGCGAAAUGCGAUACUUGGUGUGAAUUGCAGAAUCCCGUGAACCAUCGAGUCUUUGAACGCAAGUUGCGCCCGAAGCCAUUAGGCCGAGGGCACGCCUGCCUGGGCGUCACACGUCGUUGCCCCCCCAUCUACUCCUUCGGGAUUGCGGGGGGCGGAUGAUGGCCUCUCGUGCGCCUCGUCGCGCGGUUGGCCUAAAUGCCAAGUCCUCGGCGACGCACGCCACGACAAUCGGUGGUUGCGAAACCUCGGUUGCCUGUCGUGUGCGGUCGUCGCGCAUCGAGGGCUCGAAAAAAUUGCCGGGCUUCGGCUCGACUUUCAACGCGACCCCAGGUCAGGCGGGGUUACCCGCUGAAUUUAAGCAUAUCAAUAAGCGGAGGA